rnacentral:rRNA from 1 species
CGCACGGGUGAGUAACACGUAUGCAACCUGGCUGUAACGAGGGGAAUAACCCGGAGAAAUCCGGACUAAUACCGCAUAAUACUUAGAAUCCGCAUGGAUUUUAAGUUAAACGAUUUAUGGCUUACAGGAUGGGCAUGCGUAUGAUUAGCUGGUUGGAGAGGUAACGGCUCCCCAAGGCAACGAUCAUUAGGGGUUCUGAGAGGAAGGUCCCCCCACACUGGUACUGAGACACGGACCAGACUCCUACGGGAGGCAGCAGUGAGGAAUAUUGGUCAAUGGACGCAAGUCUGAACCAAGCCAAGUCGCGUGAAGGAAGAAUGUCCUAUGGAUUGGUAAACUUCUUUUGAAGGGGAAUAAAGUACGGUACGUGUACCGUUUUGUAUGUACCCUUCGAAUAAGGAUCGGCUAACUCCGUGCCAGCCGCCGC